UCGUCGCGUGGGUGCCGCGCGCUUGGACACGCUGCCGGACGAGCGAGAGGCGUUGACUUUUCAGACUGGGGUUUUGCGGCGACGGCGUGGCAUUGGGCCUUCUCGACGAAAGCGGGGGUGGAACCCUUUUUUUUUUUGCGUAAGCAGGGGCGGGGAGGAAGCUUGUCGCAGCCGGCCCCAGGUAAAUGGAGGAACCUGUCAGUUGAGAGGAGGAGGAGGAGGAGGCGACCAAGGUGAAAUGGCGGCGGCGGUACCAAUGGCGGCACAAUGAGGCGACGCCUGUAAACCGGGUAAACUCCGGACUGUCCCACCUGGCAGGAGCUUGGCAGUGAUGUGAUUACCAUACACACCAUACACGCAGAUAUAAUGGUGUCAGAAUGCAGUUCAGAAAACAUAUACGCAGAGAUCUCAGAAAUUAAUACAGUAGUCCUCAACUUACGACCACAAUUGAACCCAAAAUUUCUGUUGUUAACGAGUCAUUUGUUAACUUCUUGGUUCUCUGCCUAACUCACACAGAGCAAUAAUGUAUUGGAUUACUGACAACUGACUGGUUGAAAAAAAGGUUUGAUAAUAUUCAAUCUUUAGUUGAAAAUUUUUUUAAAAGUUUGAUGAACUGAUAAUGACUGGAAAAUAUUCAGAUGCAUCUAGUAUCUGGAUAAUUCAGAUUCACAAAAGAAAUGUGAUUUGAAACUUCAGUCAAUCUGUCGCAAAGAAAGUGGGACUGUAUAGACUUAGAAUUAAUUCAGUUGAUUGCAUAUACCACUUUGAACUUCAAGCCUGCAGCUUUUACAACAUAAGGAAUUAUACUGCAUGGAGAAGUGACAAUUUGGCCUUCCCUAAGAGGAUUGAAGGAGAUUAGUGUGAUUUAUCACACUUAAUUGGGAACCAAUUUCAUCUGGACUUGGUUGGGAAGCUAGACUGAUUUUGGAGAUUGAAUUUAUUAUAUUUAAUCAGACAACAAUUGAUAAGAGGUGGAAUUAAAAAACAAAUGUGGAUAUUUGAUCCAGGACAAAUUACUGUUAACUUUUGGGAGGAUUUGGAAUGAUAAGAUGCCAUAGAAAAAUUUUUAUGAGCUGAUUAACAAUUUGCUUUCAGAUAAUUUUGAAACUUUAACUUUGUCUUUUUAAAUUAUUAUUGUUGUUCCUGUUAACUAUUUUGUCAUUAAUAUAAUAUAUAGAUGACAGGUUAGUAAUUUGCAAAUAGAUUUAGUAAUUUAAAAAUCUUUUGGGUGUUUUUCAUAAGGGGUGGGAUAGUAAUAUUGUAUCAAUAUUCAACAAGAGGGGAUAAUAUCUAUAAAUGUUUUAAUUCACUUUUUAAAUGACUUGUUUGCUAUGUUUUCUUUUUGUUUUGUUUGUUUUUUAAAAAUCUUUUGGAGUUUUUUAUUUUAAUUUUUUAAAUAAAAUAAUUUGAUUAAAAAAGGAAAAAAGAGAAGUUAUAAAUUAAUAUUUCUCCAUGUAUUGUGAGACUCUUAGGAUGAUAUGAGUGAACAACCAACAUUCAGUUUGGCCUGAAAGUUGCUGUUGAAUUGUCAAUUUAAAAAAAAAAUAAUUUAUAUUGAAAAUUUUGUUUACAGUGGUAAAAACAAAUUUAAGCUAAACUUA